rnacentral:misc_RNA from 1 species
UACGGAGGGUGCGAGCGUUAAUCGGAAUUACUGGGCGUAAAGCGCGCGUAGGCGGCCAAGUAAGCCGGUUGUGAAAGCCCCGGGCUCAACCUGGGAAUGGCAUCCGGAACUGUUUGGCUAGAGUGCAGAAGAGGAAGGUAGAAUUCCCGGUGUAGCGGUGAAAUGCGUAGAGAUCGGGAGGAAUACCAGUGGCGAAGGCGGCCUUCUGGUCUGACACUGACGCUGAGGUGCGAAAGCGUGGGUAGCAAACAGG